GACGAACGCUGGCGGCGUGCUUAACACAUGCAAGUCGAACGGUAAGGCCCUUCGGGGUACACGAGUGGCGAACGGGUGAGUAACACGUGGGUGAUCUGCCCUGCACUUCGGGAUAAGCCUGGGAAACUGGGUCUAAUACCGGAUAGGACCACUGCCUGCAUGGGUGGUGGUGGAAAGCUUUUGCGGUGUGGGAUGGGCCCGCGGCCUAUCAGCUUGUUGGUGGGGUGAUGGCCUACCAAGGCGACGACGGGUAGCCGGCCUGAGAGGGUGACCGGCCACACUGGGUCUGAGAUACGGCCCAGACUCCUACGGGAGGCAGCAGGGGUGAAUAUUGCACAAUGGGCGCAGGCCUGAUGCAGCGACGCCGCGUGAGGGAUGACGGCCUUCGGGUUGUAAACCUCUUUCAGCACCGACGAAGCGCAAGUGACGGUAGGUGCAGAAGAAGGACCGGCCAACUACGUGCCAGCAGCCGCAGUAAGAC
rnacentral:rRNA from 1 species